rnacentral:rRNA from 1 species
GACGAACGCUGGCGGCGUGCUUAGCACAUGCAAGUCGAACGGAAAGGCCCUGCUUUUGUAGGGUGCUCGAGUGGCGAACGGGUGAGUAACACGUGAGUAACCUGCCCUUGACUUUGGGAUAACUUCAGGAAACUGGGGCUAAUACCGGAUAGGAGCUCCUGCUGCAUGGUGGGGGUUGGAAAGUUUCGGCGGUUGGGGAUGGACUCGCGGCUUAUCAGCUUGUUGGUGGGGUAGUGGCUUACCAAGGCUUUGACGGGUAGCCGGCCUGAGAGGGUGACCGGCCACAUUGGGACUGAGAUACGGCCCAGACUCCUACGGGAGGCAGCAGUGGGGAAUAUUGCACAAUGGGCGGAAGCCUGAUGCAGCAACGCCGCGUGCGGGAUGACGGCCUUCGGGUUGUAAACCGCUUUCGCCUGUGACGAAGCGUGAGUGACGGUAAUGGGUAAAGAAGCACCGGCUAACUACGUG